GGGCACCUGUGACGCUAAAAGGAGCGUUUUCCGAGUACGCCUAGAAAGGGAUGACAAGAUUUUGUGAACCAGAGGCACCUCCACAUAUGCACCUGCGGCACUUCUGCAGCCUCAACAGCACGGCAAAGUACCUGAUGAGCAUGCUGUGACAAGCUGCUAUAGGUAUGGCUGGACCUGGAGAAGGAGUGUAAGCAGACCAUGCUAUGUUGCUGAUCUGCGCUGAUCUCCACAUCCAAGUUGGUCCCGCGACAGUUGGGCGCCAUUGUGCCUUGCUUCAUUGACAAGGUGAUAUAAUAUGGUGCCCUGCUCGCUCUCACCCAAGCAACCCACUCCAGCGGUCUUCUCUCGGCAGACUGGAUGCAUCGAAAUACCAUUAGAAGGUCCAAUAAACAGUGCUUGGGACAUUUAUGACAUGCUUUUAUUUAAGCCGGAGGACUUCAGGCUUAAUGAAAGCUCAAGUGGGUGUACAGAAAUACCUACACUGCCUGGAGAAAUAUAGAAGUGACCAUCCAAUGAUGCCACCUGCACCACAUCCGGAGAACCACCUUGCUUCCCUGCGAAAGCACCGUUGGAGCUUUGUUUUACACAAGCAGGACGCCAGGGCAAGCGAGUAGAAAAGUAAAUACAGUACAAGUCCAGUGAUGCUUUUUCAAUAAAGUGUGAUGAUAUGCUACGUA